rnacentral:rRNA from 1 species
UACGUAGGCAGCAAGCGUUGUUCGGAGUUACUGGGCGUAAAGAGUGCGUAGGUGGUGCCCUAAGUCUGUUGUGAAAUCUCCCGGCUUAACUGGGAGGGUGCGGCGAAAACUGGAAUGCUAGAGGAUGGGAGAGGUAAGCGGAAUUCCUGGUGUAGCGGUGAAAUGCGUAGAUAUCAGGAGGAACACCUGUGGUGUAGACAGCUUACUGGACCAUUCUGACGCUGAGACACGAAAGCGUGGGUAGCAAACAGG